rnacentral:lncRNA from 1 species
GUCAGUGGUAGAGCACUCCUCACCUAGCAUGUGUGAGGCCCUGGGUGCGAUCCUCAGCGCCACAUAAAGAUAAAUAAAGAUAUCAUGUCCAUCUACAACUAAAAAAUAUUUUUAAAAAUGAGAUUGUUGGAUAUAGAGAUCUUUAAAGUAGUUAAAUACAUUAUGUAAGUUAAAUACUUAAAGUUAAUUUAGAGAUGAUUCUUGCAGAUAACUGAGAGAAGAAGAACCUAGUUUUAAAGAAAGGGUUGUGAAAUCAGGCCUUGGAGGACCUGUUAUUCCAGGGUGUGGCGUCAGACUACUCAAAGCUUGUGUUUCCCUUAUGAAUAGAAAUAAUGUUAGAAAUGCCAAUAGGCUGUUGGGAAGAGCAAAGUGUUUAGCAUAGGUCUGGGGUUAUGGCUCUACGGUACAGUGCUCAUCUAGCAGGUGCCAGACCCUGGGUUCGAUCCUCAGCACCUCAUAAAAAUAAAUAAUACAAUAAAUAAUAAAAUAAAUAAAUACAACUAUAAAAUAAAUAUUUUUUUAAAAACUGCUUAGCAUACAUGGGGCACAUCUUCAGUGCUCAGCCAUGUCAUAGUUAGCUAGCAUUGCUUGUCAGAUGUAAAAAAUACCCUGAAGGGAGCCCGCAAACACAGUGGCUAAGAGCACCAACUCUGAAGCCACCCUGUCUUGAGUCUAGGUCCUGGCGACACCAUUACUGGCUAUGCACUUUACUCUUUUUGCCUCAGUUUCUUUGUCUACAAAGUGAAGAUCAUACUAGUACUUGCUUCAUAUGAUAGCUAUGAUGAUUGGGUCCAUUCAUCUCAGUCAGGUUUAGAGCAGGGUGGGCACAGAGUUAGCACUUGAAUUAUUUGUUACUAAUAUGUAUUUUGAGAAUGCAG